UGAAAACACGUCUGCAGCUACA
rnacentral:miRNA from 1 species